AAGGCUGUGGGAGGGGGACUGUGGUGCGCCUUGUAACUUAGUGCCUAGAGCUGAGACUAACAUGCUGAACGGAUGCGGUCAGAUAAGGCUUGACGCUUCGCAAUUUCUUCGAGUUCAGAAAGUGGAGCGAGCAAAGCGACUGAAAGGCUGAGAAGCAAGGCAAUUGAAAGGCUGGUUUCACGCUGGCAGCAAUGGUGGCCUAGGCUGAACUUGUUCUGCAGCCGCUUCGCACUGAAGAUAGAUUAAAUAGCCCGAGGAGAACUUCAUUUUGAGUCUGAUCAACUCUUCUCUCACCCCCACUCCCCCAAAAAGGAGAUGUUUGUAUUGACUUCACUAGACUUUGGCUUAGACCCUACACAAUUAGGUUCAGUUUUCAUUUUGUAGUAUCUCAAGGAGCAGUGAACACUGCCUGAUCUAUAUUUCACAGUACUCCCUUUCCCUUCCUGCCAACUGCUUUAACCUGGAAAGCAGUGCAACUUUGUUUUCUCGGUAUCACCUCUUCUGGCCUUUUUCCUGCUUUAAAUGUAAUGAGGAUAUUCUGAUGUAGUUCAUCUUCAUGCAUAUAUUCUAUACCUAAAGGGAGAAAAAAAGUUAUAGAGUUUACAUGUAUCUUCCGUUGUGGCCAGGUCCAAGAAUCGGUUGUCACUACAGUUUCAUUUUAGCCCUUAAAAUAAUCCUUAAGCAGAAUUCAAGUGUUGCAGAGGGCUUUUUCAGGCCUUUUGUUCAAUGCUCUUAAUACUCCAUUACCCUAAUGUAAAUAUUACAAAACCUAGGGCAAAACACUGAAACUGCAAGCAAUGGACCUAAGAGCACAUGACUGGUACAAGAACUGAUAGCACCCAUUGAAAAUCCUGCAUUCAAGCUGAGGACCCAGUCUCAGCUGAGGAGCUGCACAGCAUCACGUGAGAGGGGAGAGGCACAUCACAUCAGCCAGUCUUAAAAGCCUGGUGGCCCUCAAAUACUGGUCAUCAGAACCUGUAAAUCUGCAUUAAAGCGUGGUGUGUAUCUGUGGGAGUCAAAGCACACCGUAACAGAGCGUCCAUAACAAUGUUUGGACUUUGGAGGAGUUUGUUUUUAGGAUUCCCCAGCAUUUCACUUACAGGGACUUAACAGGCCUCCAAGACCAGUUUUGGAGCUGGAGAAAUCAGAGGUGAUACCCCAGCAUCUGUGGAAUUUUUGAAACGGAGAAUCGUGACACCUGCCACCAGGAUUGCUCUGUCCAGCACUCCUGCA